UCCAAAGAGGAGUAGGAGGUAUUGAUGUUCCAGAUAAUAAAUGAGCCUGUUUAUGCACAUUCCUUUUCCUUUUGAUGUCUUACCAGGAGUAUCUUCUGCAGCAAAUCACCCGGCCGAUCACUUUCGAGAUCACCAUCGCCGAAGUCUAGAUCUGCGUCUCCUGUUAAGCCAACCAGGUAUAUGAGAUUGCAUUGCUACGUAAUAUUGUUGUCGUAGGUACUAAUUAUAGCCUUUUGUUUUCUAUUUUCAGUUUAGCUUUUUAAGUUUUUUAAACCCUCGAGCUCUUCAUUUGCGUUCAGGUCCAGAUCAAUGUCAAGGUCGAGGUCUAGGUCUAUAUCGAGGUCACUGUCAAGGUCCAGAUCGGCAUCACCA
rnacentral:lncRNA from 1 species